ACGGGUGAGUAAUACGUGAGUAACCUACCUUUAACUCUGGGAUAAGCCUGGGAAACUGGGUCUAAUACCGGAUACGACCAAUCUCCGCAUGGGGUGUUGGUGGAAAGCGUUAUGUAGUGGUUAUAGAUGGGCUCACGGCCUAUCAGCUUGUUGGUGAGGUAACGGCUCACCAAGGCGACGACGGGUAGCCGGCCUGAGAGGGUGACCGGCCACACUGGGACUGAGACACGGCCCAGACUCCUACGGGAGGCAGCAGUGGGGAAUAUUGCACAAUGGGCGCAAGCCUGAUGCAGCGACGCCGCGUGAGGGAUGACGGCCUUCGGGUUGUAAACCUCUGUUAGCAGGGAAGAAGAGAGAUUGACGGUACCUGCAGAGAAAGCGCCGGCUAACUACGUGCCAGCAGCCGCGGUAAUACGUAGGGCGCGAGCGUUGUCCGGAAUUAUUGGGCGUAAAGAGCUUGUAGGCGGUUUGUCGCGUCUGCUGUGAAAGGCCGGAGCUUAACUCCGUGUAUUGCAGUGGGUACGGGCAGACUAGAGUGCAGUAGGGGAGACUGGAAUUCCUGGUGUAGCGGUG
rnacentral:rRNA from 1 species